UACGUAGGUGGCAAGCGUUGUCCGGAAUUAUUGGGCGUAAAGCGCGCGCAGGCGGUCCUUUAAGUCUGAUGUGAAAGCCCACGGCUCAACCGUGGAGGGUCAUUGGAAACUGGGGGACUUGAGUACAGAAGAGGAGAGUGGAAUUCCACGUGUAGCGGUGAAAUGCGUAGAGAUGUGGAGGAACACCGGUUGCGAAGGCGACUCUUUGGUCUGUAACUGACGCUGAGGCGCGAAAGCGUGGGGAUCAAACAGG
rnacentral:rRNA from 1 species